rnacentral:rRNA from 1 species
AACGAACGCUGGCGGCAUGCCUAACACAUGCAAGUCGAACGAGACCUUCGGGUCUAGUGGCGCACGCGUGCGUAACGCGUGGGACCCUGCCCUUAUGUUCGGAAUAACUCCCCGACAGGGGUGCUAAUACCGGAUAAUUUCUUCGGACCAAAGAUUCAUCGCCUUUGGAUGGGCACGCGUUGGAUUGGCUAGUUGGUAGGGUAAAAGCCUACCAAGGCGACGAUCCAUAGCUGGUCUGAGAGGAUGAUCAGCCACACUGGGACUGAGACACGGCCCAGACUCCUACGGGAGGCAGCAGAGGGGAAUAUUGGACAAUGGGCGAAAGCCUGAUGCAGCAAUGCCGCGUGAGUGAUGAAGGCCUUAGGGUUGUAAAGCUCUUUUACCCGGGAUGAUAAUGACAGUACCGGGAGAAUAAGCUCCGGCUAACUCCGUG